rnacentral:lncRNA from 1 species
GACAUUAAUGAAUGUCGCUUUGAAAGAUCCAUUCUAACCGAGAGAGAGAGAGAGAGAGAGAGAGAGAACUCUCCAAAAGAACGACUCUCCAACAAGGAUCCCGACGACACACUGAGCGUGUGCUGGAGUCAGAGCAGAUCCAUACCAGCUGCAACUCAUCCAUAAAUCAAGACUUCUACAUAUACCCAUUCCUGCCAACUUCCACUCUGCCAGAUCGUAAUCUCUGCUCAUACCGCUCUGUCUCUGGCUCCUGUCUACUGUUCCACAUCUCACCACCAACCACCUUGCUCUGGAUUUUACUCCCCACCAUUACCUUGGAUUCCCCUCAGGACCUGUUUCCCUGUUCUGCUCAGGCAACUCCAAACUCACUCUACACUCCUGUUUUUUUUUUUGCGCUCAUCUGAGCUACCCCGGUUCUGCACUUCAUAUUUCUCUGUGUUCAAUAAACAUUUUGGUGCAUUCCUCCCGGC